rnacentral:rRNA from 1 species
GCUACCGGUUCUCGUUCGAUCACCGAAGUCAAGCAUCAUGGGGCGCGUUCAGUACUAGGGGUGACCACCUGGGAACACCGCGUGCCGUU